rnacentral:ncRNA from 1 species
AUAAAUACAUGGAAGAGGAAUAGUAAGGAUUAUAAACGUCAAGAGAGCUGUUGGUUGGUGCAAAACAGUCGUCAUUAAUUCUGAACUCGCCUUGAAGUAGCUUCACUGAACAAUGAGUAAGUGAAGACGGAACCUAACCGUUAAUAUAGGAGGUAAGGGGAGAGCUCCCUUUAUCUAACCAAGUGCACACGUUAUUUGUGUGAAUGAGAGUGGUACCGCGUAGGAUGUCAAAGUCUUUCGUCUCUUUA